ncrna:Leifsonia xyli subsp. xyli str. CTCB07 ZMP/ZTP riboswitch
GGCCUUCGUCGCGACUGGCGCUCAGAUGGUCACCAUCGGGGAGCGACGACGGUACCUCGAACGAACGGGUGGAUUCGGCCGCGCGCCUGGGUCGAUAGC